AUUAAAACACCAGUUCUCUUAUGAUCACCAAAAUUAAGCAAUGUUGAGUCUGGUCAUUACCUAGAUGGGUGACCACUUGGGAAUACAAGGUACUGUAAG